ACUUUAGUGUUGUUGGGUAGGGGAGCGUUCUGUAAGCCGUUGAAGGUGUCCUGUGAGGGGUGCUGGAGGUAUCAGAAGUGCGAAUGCUGACAUAAGUAACGAUAAAGCGGGUGAAAAGCCCGCUCGCCGGAAGACCAAGGGUUCCUGUCCAACGUUAAUCGGGGCAGGGUGAGUCGACCCCUAAGGCGAGGCCGAAAGGCGUAGUCGAUGGGAAACGGGUUAAUAUUCCCGUACUUGGUGUUACUGCGAAGGGGGGACGGAGAAGGCUAUGUUGGCCGGGCGACGGUUGUCCCGGUUUAAGCGUGUAGGUGUGUGUUCCAGGUAAAUCCGGUUCACUUUAACACUGAGGCGUGAUGACGAGGCACCACGGUGCUGAAGCAACAAAUGCCCUGCUUCCAGGAAAAGCCUCUAAGCAUCAGGUAACAUCAAAUCGUACCCCAAACCGACACAGGUGGUCAGGUAGAGAAUACCAAGGCGCUUGAGAGAACUCGGGUGAAGGAACUAGGCAAAAUGGUGCCGUAACUUCGGGAGAAGGCACGCUGACAC
rnacentral:rRNA from 2 species